rnacentral:rRNA from 1 species
AUACGGAGGAUGCAAGCGUUAUCCGGAUUUAUUGGGUUUAAAGGGUGCGUAGGCGGGACUGUAAGUCAGGGGUGAAAUACUGCAGCUUAACUGUAGCAUUGCCUUUGAAACUGCCGUUCUUUAGUACAGUUGAGGUAGGCGGAAUGUGGUGUGGAGCGGUGAAAUGCAUAGAUAUACCACAGAACGCCGAUUGCGAAGGCAGCUUACUAAGCUGUUACUGACGCUGAGGCACGAAAGCGUGGGGAUCAAACAGGAUUAGAUACCCUGGUAGUCCACGCUGUAAACGAUGAUUACUGGUUGUUAGCGAUAUAUAGCUAGUGACUGAGCGAAAGCAUUAAGUAAUCCACCUGGGGAGUACGUCGGCAACGAUGAAACUCAAAGGAAUUGACGGG